CGGCGAGUGAAGCGGCAAUAGCUCAAAUUUGAAAGCUGGCGCCUUCGGCGUCCGCGUUGUAAUUUGUAGAGGAUGCUUCGGCGAGGACUCCUGCCUAAGUCCCCUGGAACGGGGCGUCACAGAGGGUGAGAAUCCCGUACGUGGCGGGCGGUCCGAGCCAUGUGAAGCUCCUUCGACGAGUCGAGUUGUUUGGGAAUGCAGCUCUAAAUGGGAGGUAAAUUUCUUCUAAAGCUAAAUACUGGCCAGAGACCGAUAGCGCACAAGUAGAGUGAUCGAAAGAUGAAAAGCACUUUGGAAAGAGAGUUAAAAAGUACGUGAAAUUGUUGAAAGGGAAGCGCUUGCAACCAGACUCGUCCGCAGUUGCUCAGCCGGCCUCUUGGCCGGUGUACUCUUCUGCGGCCGGGCCAGCAUCGGUUUGGGCGGCCGGAUAAAGGUGUCGGGAAUGUAGCACCCUUCGGGGUGUGUUAUAGCCCGGCGCGGAAUGCGGCCAGCCUGGACCGAGGAUCUCGCUUCGGCAAGGAUGCUGGCGUAAUGGUUGUAAGCGGCCCGUCUUGAAACACGGACCAAGGAGUCUAACAUCUAUGCGAGUGUUUGGGUGUCAAACCCAUGCGCGUAAUGAAAGUGAACGGAGGUGGGAACCCCUCGCGGGGUGCACCAUCGACCGAUCCUGAUGUCUUCGGAUGGAUUUGAGUAAGAGCAUAGCUGUUGGGACCCGAAAGAUGGUGAACUAUGCCUGAAUAGGGUGAAGCCAGAGGAAACUCUG
rnacentral:rRNA from 1 species